GGUUAAGCGACUAAGCGUACACGGUGGAUGCCCUGGCAGUCAGAGGCGAUGAAGGACGUGCUAAUCUGCGAAAAGCGUCGGUAAGGUGAUAUGAACCGUUAUAACCGGCGAUGUCCGAAUGGGGAAACCCAGUGCAAUUCGUUGCACUAUCGUUAACUGAAUACAUAGGUUAACGAGGCGAACCGGGGGAACUGAAACAUCUAAGUACCCCGAGGAAAAGAAAUCAACCGAGAUUCCCCCAGUAGCGGCGAGCGAACGGGGAGCAGCCCAGAGUCUGAAUCAGCUUGUGUGUUAGUGGAACGGUCUGGAAAGUCCGACGGUACAGGGUGAUAGUCCCGUACACCAAAAUGCACAGGCUGUGAACUCGAAGAGUAGGGCGGGACACGUGGUAUCCUGUCUGAAUAUGGGGGGACCAUCCUCCAAGGCUAAAUACUCCUGACUGACCGAUAGUGAACCAGUACCGUGAGGGAAAGGCGAAAAGAACCCCGGCGAGGGGAGUGAAAAAGAACCUGAAACCGUGUACGUACAAGCAGUGGGAGCACCUUCGGGUGUGACUGCGUACCUUUUGUAUAAUGGGUCAGCGACUUAUAUUCUGUAGCAAGGUUAACCGUAUAGGGGAGCCGCAGGGAAACCGAGUCUUAACUGGGCGUUAAGUUGCAGGGUAUAGACCCGAAACCCGGUGAUCUAGCCAUGGGCAGGUUGAAGGUUGGGUAACACUAACUGGAGGACCGAACCGACUAAUGUUGAAAAAUUAGCGGAUGACUUGUGGCUGGGGGUGAAAGGCCAAUCAAACCGGGAGAUAGCUGGUUCUCCCCGAAAGCUAUUUAGGUAGCGCCUCGUGAACUCAUCUUCGGGGGUAGAGCACUGUUUCGGCUAGGGGGUCAUCCCGACUUACCAACCCGAUGCAAACUACGAAUACCGAAGAAUGUUAUCACGGGAGACACACGGCGGGUGCUAACGUCCGUCGUGAAGAGGGAAACAACCCAGACCGCCAGCUAAGGUCCCAAAGUCAUGGUUAAGUGGGAAACGAUGUGGGAAGGCACAGACAGCCAGGAUGUUGGCUUAGAAGCAGCCAUCAUUUAAAGAAAGCGUAAUAGCUCACUGGUCGAGUCGGCCUGCGCGGAAGAUGUAACGGGGCUAAACCAUGCACCGAAGCUGCGGCAGCGACACUAUGUGUUGUUGGGUAGGGGAGCGUUCUGUAAGCCUGCGAAGGUGUGCUGUGAGGCAUGCUGGAGGUAUCAGAAGUGCGAAUGCUGACAUAAGUAACGAUAAAGCGGGUGAAAAGCCCGCUCGCCGGAAGACCAAGGGUUCCUGUCCAACGUUAAUCGGGGCAGGGUGAGUCGACCCCUAAGGCGAGGCCGAAAGGCGUAGUCGAUGGGAAACAGGUUAAUAUUCCUGUACUUGGUGUUACUGCGAAGGGGGGACGGAGAAGGCUAUGUUAGCCGGGCGACGGUUGUCCCGGUUUAAGCAUGUAGGCUGGUUAUCCAGGCAAAUCCGGAUAAUCAAGGCUGAGGUGUGAUGACGAGGCACUACGGUGCUGAAGUAACAAAUGCCCUGCUUCCAGGAAAAGCCUCUAAGCAUCAGGUAACAUCAAAUCGUACCCCAAACCGACACAGGUGGUCAGGUAGAGAAUACCAAGGCGCUUGAGAGAACUCGGGUGAAGGAACUAGGCAAAAUGGUGCCGUAACUUCGGGAGAAGGCACGCUGGUGUGUAGGUGAAGUCCCUGCGGAUGGAGCUGAGACCAGUCGAAGAUACCAGCUGGCUGCAACUGUUUAUUAAAAACACAGCACUGUGCAAACACGAAAGUGGACGUAUACGGUGUGACGCCUGCCCGGUGCCGGAAGGUUAAUUGAUGGGGUUAUCCGUAAGGAGAAGCUCUUGAUCGAAGCCCCGGUAAACGGCGGCCGUAACUAUAACGGUCCUAAGGUAGCGAAAUUCCUUGUCGGGUAAGUUCCGACCUGCACGAAUGGCGUAAUGAUGGCCAGGCUGUCUCCACCCGAGACUCAGUGAAAUUGAACUCGCUGUGAAGAUGCAGUGUACCCGCGGCAAGACGGAAAGACCCCGUGAACCUUUACUAUAGCUUGACACUGAACAUUGAGCCUUGAUGUGUAGGAUAGGUGGGAGGCUUUGAAGCGUGGACGCCAGUCUGCGUGGAGCCAACCUUGAAAUACCACCCUUUAAUGUUUGAUGUUCUAACGUUGGCCCCUGACCGGGGUUGCGGACAGUGUCUGGUGGGUAGUUUGACUGGGGCGGUCUCCUCCCAAAGCGUAACGGAGGAGCACGAAGGUUAGCUAAUCCUGGUCGGACAUCAGGAGGUUAGUGCAAUGGCAUAAGCUAGCUUGACUGCGAGCGUGACGGCGCGAGCAGGUGCGAAAGCAGGUCAUAGUGAUCCGGUGGUUCUGAAUGGAAGGGCCAUCGCUCAACGGAUAAAAGGUACUCCGGGGAUAACAGGCUGAUACCGCCCAAGAGUUCAUAUCGACGGCGGUGUUUGGCACCUCGAUGUCGGCUCAUCACAUCCUGGGGCUGAAGUAGGUCCCAAGGGUAUGGCUGUUCGCCAUUUAAAGUGGUACGCGAGCUGGGUUUAGAACGUCGUGAGACAGUUCGGUCCCUAUCUGCCGUGGGCGCUGGAGAAUUGAGGGGGCUGCUCCUAGUACGAGAGGACCGGAGUGGACGCAUCACUGGUGUUCGGGUUGUCAUGCCAAUGGCACUGCCCGGUAGCUAAAUGCGGAAGAGAUAAGUGCUGAAAGCAUCUAAGCACGAAACUUGCCCCGAGAUGAGUUCUCCCUGAGACUUUAAGUCUCCUGAAGGAACGUUAAAGACGAUGACGUUGAUAGGCCGGGUGUGUAAGCGCAGCGAUGCGUUGAGCUAACCGGUACUAAUGAACCGUGAGGCUUAACCUU
rnacentral:rRNA from 1 species